AUUGAACGCUGGCGGCAGGCCUAACACAUGCAAGUCGAACGCGUGGCGGACGGGUGAGUAAUGUCUGGGAAACUGCCCGAUGGAGGGGGAUAACUACUGGAAAAGGUAGCUAAUACCGCAUACCCUAGUAUGUGCCCAGAUGGGAUGAGCUAGUAGGUGGGGGAACGGCUCACCUAGGCGCAGAUCACUAGCUGGUUUGGAAGGAUGACCAGCCACACUGGAACUGAGACACGGUCCAGACUCCUACGGGAGGCAGCAGUGGGGAAUAGUGCACAAUGGGCGCAAGCCUGAUGCAGCCAUGCCGCGUGUAUGAAGAAGGCCUUCGGGUUGUAAAGUACUUUCAGCGAGGAGGCGUUACUCGCAGAAGAAGCACCGGCUAACUCCGUGCCAGCAGCCGCGGUAAUUC
rnacentral:rRNA from 1 species